UUCCCAGGGGAAAAAUCCUGAACAAAGGGAUUUUUCAGAAAAUAUGAAUGCCACACCCUGGGACGCAGCUGUAGCUUGCAUUGCAGUGGUAAAGUAGACACAGAGCAUCUCUGACCUCCCCUAAGAGGAGAUUAAUUAGAGUGUUGCUGCUGUUGAGGCUUCUGCUGGUGAAGGAGGUAGGAGCUCUGCCUGGAGUCAGCCAGCAGUGGGAAGCCAGCACGUUGGGAUUGUAGCAAGAAUACCCACUAAGGGUGUCUCCCAGAAUACCCAGCAAACAGCCUGUGGAUUCAUCCAUGCUGACAGAGUCACUGAAGUCCCCACAGAGGCUGACACCAAGAGCCUGAAUCAUUGGUGUGUUUAUCCCACAAAUUCGUGGUUUAAAUGCACUUCAUACAGGGGUGGCUCUGUUACUUUGACUUUAGCCCAUGCAGCUGGUGGAGAGGUGAGGUGCACACUGCUGUGUCUGUGCUGGAUGUCCAGCUGGCUUUGCCUUGUGUCUCAGUUGAAUACUGCCCCAAACCAUUCUGUGUACAUUGUUUUUCUCAUUUUAAAACACCAAGCCUCACAAUUUCCUAAGUAGAUCUUUGGGGCUGUAGCCAUGUGACUCCCAUUGAAGACAACAGCACUCAUGCUACGUUCUUGUGUGCACAUCAAUCCUGAAGCACCCUGGGAUGCAGCUACCAGGAACCAUUCUGCUUUUUGACUGUUGCCAAUCAGGGAAGAGUGGGAGAAGGUUGAAGCUGCUCCCUGGUGCCCUAUCAAUGCUGCCAAAAAGAUAAGGAAGGAGCUGGGGUCAGAUGGGCAGUUGCUAAAAUGAGAAAUAUACUUUUUAGUGGUGGAGCUUUAUGCAUAGUGAGUGGGAUGAAAUUAAAAAGUGAGAGAAAGUGAGGUCCUGUUGCUGUUGUUGCUGGAGCUGGUGUGGUUGUAGAGGGUGAUGCCAAGAACUAAUGCAAAGAACCACACAGCAGAGGCAACUUGCCCUGCACAAACAAUCUUUAUUAUCUGUGACACACAACUUCUGAGCAUGGUCUACUGGCCCAUCAUUUGCUAACCAACUGGUAGUCAACAGAUGUCUGGGUAGCAUUUUGGUAAUAUUUGGGAUGGUACUGACCCAGUGGUGGCUGGUGCAGGAGUCUCAACAAUGGCACAGCCUAUAAAAAUCAAAAUUAUACAGAAUGAUUUUAAAGCUUGAUUUGUAAGAGACAUGGCACAUUUCUGAGGGGGAGAGGUUAGAUUUUUCCCUCACAUGAGGGUGCCUAGUGCUUUAAAGAAAAUACUGAGCAUUUUCCAGGACUUAUUUCUGUAUGUGGGUGAGAGGUGUCCUGAUGAUCAGUCCAGCUCCACGAAGGUCCCAGUUCUGUCAUAGCAUCUGACUCUAUUUGAACAGUUAGAUUUGUUGUGACAUAAAAUCCUAUUGAUGAUUCUGAGAGACACUUGUCGAGAUAAUAAAGAAUAAAAGAGCAUUCAUCUGCAAUUACAUUAGAUGCUUUUUGUAACAAAAGAAUAAAUUUUGCAUGGCAGAGGAGCUACACAGAGAUCAAUUUGGCCUACAGCUAUAUUUUUUUGUCAGUCCUCUGUACAUUUUUCUUUUCAAAGUCUAUUUUUCUGCUCACUAUUUGCAAAGAGACAUUGACCAUGACAUAGAAUAAGCAUGGUAGUUUUAUGAGUAGCCUGAUAUGGCCUGUUUAUCCUUUCAUUUCAAAAGCACACCAGACAGAUCUAUCUCAUCCUCCUGUAAUUCCCUCCUUUUCUUGUUUUUUUCCCUUUUCUUGAAAAUUGUAAUAGCAAAAUUGAAUGGGAGCUGAGAUCUUUUUUGCCAAAUUUUAGCCCAGCAGUAAGCUCUCUGUGCAAAGACUUGAAAAAGAAAACCUCAGAGGGAAGGAAAUGGGGAGUUAAGAUGGAAGUUCUGAUAUGACCUUACCUCAAGUGUCAUCCACAGCAAUGCUUUAAUUUAUUCAAUCAAUUGCAGGGCCCUUAGGCUGGGAAAGGAUAACUCUGGGA